rnacentral:lncRNA from 1 species
CUGCAGCAGCAGCGGCGUGGUCAGAGCGAGCUUCGGAGAAGCAGUGGUGGGUUCCAUGUGAUGGUGGAGUAGGAGGCAGGUCUCCGCGGUCAUUUACCAUGCUGUCCUCCAGGUUCAACAGUAUGGCUCCAAAGGAUGAAAUUUCAUUCUGAUUUUCUGGCUGAAGACUAUUCUCUUUGUGUAUGUCCACCACAGUUACUUUAUCCCUUCAUCUGUGGAUGGGCAGUCUCGCUGUAUUGCCCAGGCUGGAGUGCAGUGGCAUGAUCUCAGCUCACUGCAAGCUCUGCUUCCUGGGUUCACGCCAUUCUCCUGCCUCAGCCUCCUGAGUAGCUGGGAUUACAGGCACCCGCCACCACGCCCAGGAAAGAAAAAAGAAGAAAACAAACCUCCAUACGAGAAUGGGUCUAAAGGAACUUCCCAAACCUCCAUGAUUUUGCAGGAAACAAGAUAAAGCUGGUUGGUGGAGAAUUUGAACUGGAGAUGAACUCUAUUAUCCAGGAUGCUGAGAGUAUAAUACGCAUGACAGAGCUUUUAGAGCACUGUGAUGUAACAUGUCAAGCAGAAAUAGGGAGCAUGUUUACAGCCAUUCUAUGAAAAAGUGUUUGGAAUGUACAGACUAGCACAGAAGUUGGGCUAAUUAAACAAGUAUUGCUGAAAAUGAGUGCUGUAGAUGACAUGAGAGCAGGUAUGGGGUUGAUUGUUAGGGAAGUAUAACUUAAAAGUUUAUAAAGUUUCACAUACUUCUCUUUAUAUUCUAUAGGUAAUGUAGAUUUGUUGACACUACUUUGAUUUAAAAUAAAUGGAAAUGUAUGGAAAUUUUACUUUUUAUAUUAAUGGAAAACCUGAAGAGUGAAAGAAGAAAAAUAUACUUACUAUAGUAGACAAAUAUAAUUACUAAUGUUGUUUUCUAAAUUUUAGAAAAUCUCAGUACCACGGAGUGCUAUGAAAUCUAUCAGAAAAAUAAACAGUAUCUUUUUAUGUAGUAUUUCAUUAAGCUUUUACAUAAUUAAAAUGCCACAAUAGGUAUUACAGUUCUGUAUAAUGAGCAUUUUAUCAAAUUCCCCUAGUUCUGUGCCCCUCAAUCUGGCAUAUAUGCAACUAUGACAGGAGGUACUAAAAGCCUUAGAUAAGCAUGGUGUAUCUUUUUUUUUUCCCACGUAUAUUUUUUGUUUUUUUUUUUUUUUUUUUUUUUUUUUUCUGUUAUAUGUCCUGGUUCUUCCAUAACUGAUAAACUUGAUUUAUACCGAGGAGGUGGGAAAGUGGGCGGGGCAGGGUGGACUGACCCGGGAUGGGGAAGCUCCUCUCGCUGCCCCCUCGGGGCGGGCCUAGGCCCUUUGGAGGAUGGGGACGCCAGGACACUCCUCCCUGAGGUUGUCUGGCCGCCUCUGCCCCUAGUGCUCAGAAUCCUGCGUGCCCCUCAAUUCCGGAAUCCCUCCUGGGACCCCAUGCCCACUGGGCACACUGCCCCUGGUACUCAGAAUCCCGAAGCACCAUUCGGUUCCAGAAUCCCCUCCUCAGCUGCUGGGGUGGCGGGGUCCCUCCUUUCCGAUGUCCCCCCCAACCCCUGAGGGGGGAGGGAAGGGAGGGGGGUCAGGUCUCCCCUCUGUGGCAGGGGGAGGUGGAGGUGGAGGUGGAAUCGGAAGGGCGUGGAAGGCGGGGGCCAGGAGGGCUCAGCCGAUGGUGAGUCCAGAGCCACACUGGAACUUGUUCUUGCGGUGAUUCAGGAAGGCCCCAAGGGCCAGCGUCAGGGGCAGGAGCUGGAGCUUCUUCUCCAGCGUGGCACCCACGAUCCAGUUGCUAUCCACAGAGCCUUUGAAGAGGAGGUUGGCCUUGGGCAGGUCCAGCUGGUACCUGAAGGAGACGCUGGUAUCCUGCAUCCUUGUGCUGGCCUGAAAAUCCACACCCACCUGCAACUGGUCACUGGCUUUGUGGUAGUAUGUUGCGUGCAUGCCCGCCUGGCUCAACGUUACCGUUGCCAACCAGUUGUUCAAUGUGUAUUUCCCAGCUAGAGACGUGACAGUGCCCUCGUCCCCAGGCCGCCGGUUGUAGACCAGCUCUCCGCCCAGGGCCAGGCAAGGCCUGAUGCUCUGGAGGUAGUGGGCUUCGAGAAUUCUUGAACCCACGAGGACGUCUGGGAUCCCCAGGGUGACGGCUGCUGUGAGUCAGAGCCCCGAUACUCCCCGUCCACCUGCCAGUUCACAAACUUCGACUGCUGGGUCUGGAUGGCCAUCUUGGACCUGAGACCGGGGCCCAGCUGGUGAAUGACCUGAGCGUGGAGACUGCCGCUGUUGUCCAUGUCACCUACCAGUACAGGGAACGCCUCUGUGGGACUCAGCUGCUUUGUCCCCACAUACGUGACCCCGAAGUGGUAGUUGGACUCCCCGAUUGCGCUGAGGGCUACUGUGUGGUUCACCUGGAAACGGUUACUCAACCCUUUGUUGACUGUGAGCUUGACACCCUCCAUCUGAAUGGGAAACAGCUCCUUACACCUCCGGUGGCACUCCUGGAAUGUGCCCGGGUUGGGCAGGCAGCCGCAGGCCCCAUCCUCGGCGGCCCCUGAGGCGCUGGCGGUUGCAGCCCCGGGGGUCCGUUCCGAACCUCGACUCCUAGUGGUGCCGGCGCCCAGGCCGCCUCUCAGCGGCGGCAGCGUGAAGCCCGGCGGCGAGGGCGGAGGUGGCGGCCCUGCGGGCGGCGAGCUGGCGGCCAACAUGUUCCCCAUGGUCGCUGGCGGUGGCGCCUGCUCCCGGCCUGGUCUCCGCUCCCACCCGGUGCGCCACGCGCAACCGAACUCGCUGCCGCCGCCGCCACCCCCGUCGCCAGCAUGGUGUAUCUUUUGGACAUGUCCAUUUUGGAAGAAACUUUUGUGUUAAAAUAAACUAAUAUAUUAUGGGCUAGAACAUAAAAUUCACCAAGAAUUUCAAGAUAAAAAUACUAAUGUUUUGCUUGUUUGGGUUAUUUCAAACAAUAACUUUGAAAUCUAUAAUUUUUUCACCACCGACCCUCUACCUCCUUGCAUGCUCAUUCUCCUGUGUGGCUAGAUGCAUUUCGGAAAAGUGUUUUGAAUAUUAUUUCAGAGCAAGUAUCAUUCCAGAAAAUAAGUUUAAAGUUUGAAAUGUUUAUUUUUUGUAACCCAUGAAUCUUCAGCUUAAGUAUCUUCUGACAUAAAAGCAUUUUCAUAAUUAUAAAAGUGCUGAUAUUACUCUCCACAGUAUUAUAUCUGAUCCUGCAAAGUAGUUCAGAUACCAGAGAAUACUCUUAAACAUUUUGACUCACGCAAUUAAUUAUGUUUAAAAUUUAUGUAACAAGACAUUAAAUGAGAAAGAAUGGAAUGAAAAAUGGGUUAAAAGAAUGCAAAAUCGCAAAAAGAAUGCUUUGAAUUUAAAUAUUUCCAAAAAUUUGAUUUUCUGAGAAAAUAUAUUAAAAAUCAUACGUAAUUA